rnacentral:tRNA from 1 species
GGUGAGGUGCCUGAGAGGCCGAAAGGAACAGUUUGCUAAACUGUCGUACGGGCAACCGUACCGCGGGUUCGAAUCCCGCUCUCACCG